GGGGCUGAUUCUGGAUUCGACGGGAUUCGCGAAACCCAAGGUGCAUGCCGAGGGGCGGUUGGCCUCGUAAAAAGCCGCAAAAAAAUAGUCGCAAACGACGAAAACUACGCUUUAGCAGCUUAAUAACCUGC
rnacentral:tmRNA from 1 species